CGAAGACCGAGAAUAGGAGUAUAUCAAACUCUUAGUACUGCAUCUGGAUAGUCGGUAAAUAGCUCAUUUCAUCGAGGACUAUAAUUGGAAUGGCAUCCCCAAAAUAUGUAA